AUUCAACCUCAGAUCAAGUAGGAUUACCCGCUGAACUUAAGCAUAUCAAUAAGCGGAGGAAAAGAAACCAACAGGGAUUGCCUUAGUAACGGCGAGUGAAGCGGCAAAAGCUCAAAUUUGAAAUCGGCCUCCAGGUCGAGUUGUAAUUUGUAGAUUGUAUCUUGAGAGCGGAUUAAAGUCUGUUGGAACACAGCGCCUUAGAGGGUGACAGCCCCGUAAAAUCUAUUCUCAUUGUAAGAUACUUUCGAAGAGUCGAGUUGUUUGG
rnacentral:rRNA from 1 species